UUAAACGACGUAUUUUUUCUUUUCUUCUGUCCUGUGUACGUUCAAAUUUGCUCUCAUACCGAAAUUUCUUUUUGGCGGCAUUUUUAGGCUUGUGGGGACGCAAAGGAACAUCUGGUGGAGGAGAAAUACGAGGCGUGACAAAACCUUCUUUAGGAUAAGCAAUUUCUUCAUCAUCAUCGUCCUCUACAAUUUCUACCGUAACAUGCUUAUCAUCUUCGUCAUACUCAGUAGUUUUAGGCUCCAUUGAUGACUCUUCC